rnacentral:rRNA from 1 species
AUUGAACGCUGGCGGCAGGCCUAACACAUGCAAGUCGAGCGGAUGAAGGGAGCUUGCUCCUGGAUUCAGCGGCGGACGGGUGAGUAAUGCCUAGGAAUCUGCCUGGUAGUGGGGGAUAACGUCCGGAAACGGGCGCUAAUACCGCAUACGUCCUGAGGGAGAAAGUGGGGGAUCUUCGGACCUCACGCUAUCAGAUGAGCCUAGGUCGGAUUAGCUAGUUGGUGGGGUAAAGGCCUACCAAGGCGACGAUCCGUAACUGGUCUGAGAGGAUGAUCAGUCACACUGGAACUGAGACACGGUCCAGACUCCUACGGGAGGCAGCAGUGGGGAAUAUUGGACAAUGGGCGAAAGCCUAAUCCAGCCAUGCCGCGUGUGUGAAGAAGGUCUUCGGAUUGUAAAGCACUUUAAGUUGGGAGGAAGGGCAGUAAGUUAAUACCUUGCUGUUUUGACGUUACCAACAGAAUAAGCACCGGCUAACUUCGU